AUGGCAUGGUGUGGACACUUGCGGAUGAGGUCUUUGAGCCUCUCCCAAGUUUCAUUAAAUAUUUUUCCCUCUAAUUGGGAAAAAUUAGUGAUGGCUUUUCUAAUUU